CCAUGGUGGCCUUUUUUUGGGAAAGAUGUCCAGGUCACGCGUUUCUGCUCAGGUGGUGUGGUCACUGACUCGACACCCCUCCACCAGGCA
ensembl:misc_RNA